rnacentral:lncRNA from 11 species
AACAACUCAGGUUCUGAGUGAGAGUAACUGACCUGAGUCACACUGUGAGUUUAGUGGUUUCAGCAAGUCCUUGUGCGGAUGAGGAUUAUACCACUGUAUACCACCAACAGGUUGUGUUAUUAAUAAUAAAGCUCUCCUUGGUACGAACAGAAAUGAUGAGAGAAGUGGUGAGAAAACUCAGGAAGGUCACAAAUGGAAGGCAACAAUGUCUAGAAUACUUGACUCUCCCACUCUGAAAACUCAUUGGAUUGAGGUAGAAAAACCGGCAUGAAACGAAAGCUAUCUCCUUGAAAGCACCUCAGUUGCCAAGUCAUUGGAAGAGUUGCAACCAUAGCUGUUGCCAGGGAAAAUGAUAUUUUUUUCAGCUUCAACAUUUGCAAUCUAUUCUGAAUUAACAAGAAGCUUUCAGAAAGUGCAUGGACCUUAAGGCAUUACUUGACAGAUUAAAAAGUGGCUAGUGGAUCAAUGAGUAAAUCUACAUUGCAUUACUAUAUUGUUCAACAGAAAUACCUUUCCUUCUUAACAACAGGAAUAUUUGAUGCAUUUAAUUUUGGGUUAUUUUCCUCCCUUUAAUCUUUACUAAUGGGAUUGUCCCCUCCUCUGACUUUUACUAUGAUAUCUGAAGUCAUAAAAUAGACCUGAUUCAUUGUUUUCGGUGUGAUGGAAGUACACUACGAUUUUAUCAUUUUUGUAGUUAAUUUUUAUCUAUUUUGCCAAGUUUACUGUGAACAUUUUUUGUCCAUGUAUUAAUGUCCAUUUGUCUUCAGACGUGACACUGUAAUUGAAGUGUGUCAUAAAGUUAUGCAGGAGAACUCCAUUACAUCUAGUGUGAUUUAUUUUUAAGCAGUACAUGGAACUAAUCAGUAAACGAGUGUUUAAACAGCUCUUCACUUAUGUUCACAUUGGAAAAUAAAUAAAAUGGGAU